AUACGGAGGAUGCGAGCGUUAUCCGGAUUUAUUGGGUUUAAAGGGUGCGCAGGCGGGCGAUUAAGUCAGCGGGGAAAGGCUCGGGCUCAACCGGAGCAGUGCCGUUGAUACUGGUUGUCUUGAAUGCGGUCAAGGCCGGCGGAAUGUGGCGUGUAGCGGUGAAAUGCAUAGAUAUGCCACAGAACACCGAUAGCGAAGGCAGCUGGCCGGGCCUGCAUUGACGCUGAGGCACGAAAGCGUGGGGAUCGAACAGGAUUAGAUACCCUGGUAGUCCACGCUGUAAACGAUGGACACUCGUUGUCGGCGACAGACAGUCGGCGGCCAAGCGAAAGUGAUAAGUGUCCCACCUGGGGAGUACGGUCGCAAGGCUGAAACUCAAAUGAAUUGACGGG
rnacentral:rRNA from 1 species